rnacentral:miRNA from 15 species
CAGAAUAUCGACUGAUAUUAUC